RAAAUCCGUCGACUUUAGAAAUCGUGAGGGUUCAAGU
rnacentral:tRNA from 1 species